rnacentral:rRNA from 1 species
GAUGAACGCUGGCGGCGUGCUUAACACAUGCAAGUCGAACGAUGAAGCCGGACUUUGUUCUGGUGGUUUAGUGGAACACGGGUGUGUAACACGUGAAACCUCCGCUCCUGACUCUGGGAUACCAGCGGGACACGGCCGAUAACUCCGGAUGUGCACUCUGCACGCAUGUUGUGUGGUGGGAAAGAUUUUUCGGUUGGGGAUGGGCUCGCGGCCUAUCAGCUUGUUGGUGAGGUAAUGGCUCACCAAGGCGUCGACGGGUAGCCGGCCUGAGAGGGUGACCGGCCACACUGGGACUGAGACACGGCCCAGACUCCUACGGGAGGCAGCAGUGGGGAAUAUUGCACAAUGGGCGAAAGCCUGAUGCAGCAACGCCGCGUGAGGGAUGACGGCCUUCGGGUUGUAAACCUCUUUCAGCAGGGAAGAAGCGAGAGUGACGGUACCUGCAGAAGAAGCGCCGGCUAACUACGUG